rnacentral:tRNA from 1 species
GCCGAAGUGGCGGAACUGGCAGACGCGCAGGAUUCAAAAUCCUGUCCCCGCAAGGGGGUGUGGGUUCAUUUCCCACCUUCGGCA